rnacentral:rRNA from 1 species
UACAGAGGGGGCAAGCGUUGUUCGGAAUUACUGGGCGUAAAGGGCGCGUAGGCGGCCCGCUAAGUCGAACGUGAAAUCCCCGGGCUCAACCUGGGAACUGCAUUUGUGACUGCAUCGCUGGAGUGCGGCAGAGGGGGAUGGAAUUCCGCGUGUAGCAGUGAAAUGCGUAGAUAUGCGGAGGAACACCGAUGGCGAAGGCAAUCCCCUGGGCCUGCACUGACGCUCAUGCACGAAAGCGUGGGGAGCAAACAGG